AACUGGGGCUAUAGCCCCAGGCUUGGCCCAUCUAGUAGGCAUACAUUCAUUAGUUUCUUUUUUAUAUUUAUAUACAUACAAGGCCCAGCCCCAGGCGUGCAAGCACAGCCCCAUGUUCAGCCCACGUAAGUUCCCACUUCCCAGCCCAAUGGAGAUGUCCUAUGCCACGACUCGAGACCACCACAGUUGGUUUGGUUAGUAGCGAUUUCUAAGGAAUCAAUCGUCCAGUGUUUCGCCUCAUCUUUCGCCCAAUUGAUCAAAAAACGUCUCCGUUCACAGCUGUGUCGCCUCAGCCG
rnacentral:lncRNA from 1 species